GUAGGCUUUGCGGGAAGCACAACGUGAAAGAGCUCUCAAAUAUACUUCGAGGCAUCGUACAUCUCGUAGAGGGCUUGCCAAUGUUAGAGAGGACCUGAAAACUGAACUAGGUGUGGCAGAUGUAGAACGGUACCAAGUAUGGAUAAGAGCACGAGAAAAGAGGAAGGUUCUUGUUACAGAUUUGGACAAACAAAUUGAAGCAAGAAUUAAUGAGCUGAAAGAAAAAGUUAGUAGUGGAGAAAUCAUUGCAAAGGGUCGGAAUGACAUAUUAACGCAAGCUUUAGGGACACCUGAGCACCCAGGGCGUGUUAGAGCACUUGGGUCGUUUGCGAAGAUUUCGUCCGUCUUUGGAAGAAAACCAAAAAUAGCAACAGAAAUGGCUGAUGUUGUUAGUAAGAAAGAUGCAGAAAUUGCGAGGCUCAAAGCAGAACUUAAAGCUUUAGAGGAGGA